rnacentral:rRNA from 1 species
UACAGAGGGUGCGAGCGUUAAUCGGAAUUACUGGGCGUAAAGCGCGUGUAGGCGGCUUGGCAAGUCGGGUGUGAAAGCCCCGGGCUCAACCUGGGAAGUGCACUCGAAACUGCUUGGCUUGAGUACUGGAGAGGGAAGCGGAAUUCUCGGUGUAGAGGUGAAAUUCGUAGAUAUCGAGAGGAACACCGGUGGCGAAGGCGGCUUCCUGGACAGUUACUGACGCUGAGACGCGAAAGCGUGGGGAGCAAACAGG